UACGGGGGGAGCAAGCGUUGUUCGGAUUUACUGGGCGUAAAGGGCGCGUAGGCGGCCAGCACAAGUCAGUUGUGAAAUCUCCGGGCUUAACUCGGAAAGGUCAACUGAUACUGUGCGGCUAGAGUGCAGAAGGGGCAACUGGAAUUCUCGGUGUAGCGGUGAAAUGCGUAGAUAUCGAGAGGAACACCGGUGGCGAAGGCGGUUCUCUGGGCCUUACCUGACGCUGAGGAGCGAAAGCGUGGGGAGCGAACAGG
rnacentral:rRNA from 1 species